AUUGAACGCUGGCGGCGUGCUUAACACAUGCAAGUCGAGCGAAGCCUUCGGGCUUAGCGGCGGACGGGUGAGUAACGCGUGGGAACGUGCCCUUUGGUACGGAAUAGCCCCGGGAAACUGGGAGUAAUACCGUAUGUGGUCGAGAGACGAAAGAUUUAUCGCCAAAGGAUCGGCCCGCGUUGGAUUAGGUAGUUGGUGGGGUAAUGGCCUACCAAGCCGACGAUCCAUAGCUGGUUUGAGAGGAUGAUCAGCCACACUGGGACUGAGACACGGCCCAGACUCCUACGGGAGGAAGCAGUGGGGAAUCCUAGACAAUGGGGGAAACCCUGAUCUAGCCAUGCCGCGUGAUCGAUGAAGGCCUUAGGGUUGUAAAGAUCUUUCGGUGGGGAAGAUAAUGACUGUACCCACAGAAGAAGCCCCGGCUAACUCCGUGCCAGCCGCCGCGGUAACAC
rnacentral:rRNA from 1 species